rnacentral:tRNA from 1 species
GGGCGAGUGGUGGAACUGGCAGACACAUACGCUUCAGGUGCGUACGCCGCAAGGCAUGAGGGUUCAACUCCCUCCCCGCCCA